CGUAAGGGGCAAGCGUUGUCCGGAAUCACUGGGCGUAAAGCGCACGUAGGCGGUUACGCAAGUCAGGGGUGCAAGCUCUAGGCCUAACCUAGAAAUUGCCUCUGAAACUACGUUACUUGAGUAUUAGAGGGGAAGCUGGAAUUCACGGUGUAGCGGUGAAAUGCGUAGAUAUCGUGGAGAACACCCGUGGCGAAGGCGGGCUUCUGGCUAAUUACUGACGCUGAGGUGCGAAAGCUAGGGGAGCGAACGGGAUUAGAUACCCCCGGUAGUCCUAGCCCGUAAACGAUGAGUACUAGGUGUGGGGGUUAACACCUCCGUGCCGACGCCAACGCAUUAAGUACUCCGCCUGGGGACUACGGCCGCAAGGUUA
rnacentral:rRNA from 1 species